UCAUCAACAUCAACAUACCUAUCAACAACAUAAUCAUCAACAACAGAAUCAAUAAUAGGUACGUCUACCUUCACUUCCCUGAAAAUUGGUUGAGUGGUGGAAGAUGAAAAUGGUCUACCUGACUCAAAUUCACUGCUUAUACCUGCCUGGUCCUCCGAAUCUUCAUCAGGCUCCUCAGGUGCAAGAGUGGGGACAUAGGAGGAUGGGAAUGUAGAUGGUGCAGUAGUAAACUCAUGACUCUGCUCCCCAUCUCCUAUGUGGAUGGCAUCAACAUCGUCUGAAAG
rnacentral:lncRNA from 1 species